rnacentral:rRNA from 1 species
AUUGAACGCUGGCGGCAGGCCUAACACAUGCGAGUCGAACGGUAACAGGAAACAGCUUGCUGUUUCGCUGACGAGUGGCGGACGGGUGAGUAAUGUCUGGGAAACUGCCUGAUGGAGGGGGAUAACUACUGGAAACGGUAGCUAAUACCGCAUAACGUCGCAAGACCAAAGAGGGGGACCCUCGGGCCUCUUGCCAUCGGAUGUGCCCAGAUGGGAUUAGCUUGUUGGUGGGGUAACGGCUCACCAAGGCGACGAUCCCUAGCUGGUCUGAGAGGAUGACCAGCCACACUGUAACUGAGACACGGUCCAGACUCCUACGGGAGGCAGCAGUGGGGAAUAUUGCACAAUGGGCGCAAGCCUGAUGCAGCCAUGCCGCGUGUAUGAAGAAGGCCUUCGGGUUGUAAAGUACUUUCAGCGGGGAGGAAGGGAGUAAAGUUAAUACCUUUGCUCAUUGACGUUACCCGCAGAAGAAGCACCGGCUAACUCCGUG